rnacentral:rRNA from 1 species
GACAGAGGAGGCAAGCGUUAUCCGGAAUUAUUGGGCGUAAAGCGUUCGUAGGUGGUUUGACAAGUCUGGGGUUAAAGCCCGGAGCCAACUCCGGAUCGGCCCUGGAAACUGUCAGACUUGAGUAAGGUAGGGGUUGCGGGAAUUCCCGGUGUAGCGGUGAAAUGCGUAGAGAUCGGGAAGAACACCAGCGGCGAAAGCGCGCAACUGGGCCAUUACUGACACUGAGGGACGAAAGCUAGGGGAGCGAAUGGG